CCUACGGGAGGCUGCAGUGGGGAAUAUUGGACAAUGGGGGGAACCCUGAUCCAGCCAUGCCGCGUGUGUGAAGAAGGCCCUCGGGUUGUAAAGCACUUUCAGUGAGGAAGAACGCCUGGUGGUUAAUACCCAUCAGGAAAGACAUCACUCACAGAAGAAGCACCGGCUAACUCCGUGCCAGCAGCCGCGGUAAUACGGAGGGUGUGAGCGUUAAUCGGAAUUACUGGGCGUAAAGCGCGCGUAGGUGGCUUGAUAAGCCGGUUGUGAAAGCCCCGGGCUCAACCUGGGAACGGCAUCCGGAACUGUCAAGCUAGAGUGCAGGAGAGGAAGGUAGAAUUCCCGGUGUAGCGGUGAAAUGCGUAGAGAUCGGGAGGAAUACCAGUGGCGAAGGCGGCCUUCUGGACUGACACUGACACUGAGGUGCGAAAGCGUGGGUAGCAAACAGGAUUAGAUACCCCUGUAGUC
rnacentral:rRNA from 1 species